rnacentral:rRNA from 1 species
CAAUCUCACCAGGCCAGGACUCUAGAAUGAUUGACAGAUUGAGAGCUCUUUCUCGAUUUAGUGGAUGGUGGUACAUGGCCGUUCUUAGUUGGUGGAGUGAUCUGUCUGGUUAAUUCCGAUAACGAACGAGACUCUCCCCUGCUAACUAGUCGGUUGGAUCUUGAAAUGUGAGUUAGCAGCUUCAGGGAUCUCUCCUUGCGUGGUGGUACUUGCGUUCCGGCUGUGCUGUGCUUGUCGCGGCCUGUCGUGCGUGAUGUGCUCUGCGUGUAGGGUCUCCCUUGGCUGCCCUCCUAGUCCGCCGGCCUUUUAAGGUCUUGAAGAAUUCUUCUUAGAGGGAUCAACGGCUCUGAAGCCGUCAGAGACUGAGAGCAAUAA